rnacentral:rRNA from 1 species
CACGUAGGGCGCAAGCGUUGUCCGGAAUUAUUGGGCGUAAAGAGCUCGUAGGCGGUCUGUUGCGUCCGCUGUGAAAACUCGGGGCUUAACCCCGAGCCUGCAGUGGAUACGGGCAGACUAGAGGUAGGUAGGGGAGAAUGGAAUUCCCGGUGUAGCGGUGAAAUGCGCAGAUAUCUGGAGGAACACCGGUGGCGAAGGCGGCAUCCUGGACCAACACUGACACUGAGGAGCGAAAGCCAGGGGAGCAAACGGG